GCCUGGGUGGCUCAGUCAGUUAAGCGUCUGACUUUGGCUCAGGUCAUGAUCUCGCGGUUCACGGGUUCAAGCCCCGCAUCAGGCU
rnacentral:tRNA from 1 species